ensembl:lncRNA
AAAAAACAAAGAACACUUCUUGGCUGUAUUCUUCAGAGCUGGGUUGCAUCCGAAGCCACGGGAGCCCUGUGACCUUCGCCUCCUCUGUCGUGAUGGGAAAGGACAUCAUGAUGACCAUUACUUCUGAAACAGACUGUUGCAAAGGAAGAAGUGAUUGCCAUUUCUCCUAGACUCAGUUUUUUUUUUCAAAAAUCACACACACACAGCGUGUGUUAUUAGUAUUUACAUUACAAAGUAGGAUAAAAUCUGCUGACCGAAUACCUGGGAUAUGUGUGAUCCCAGACCAGUUUUAAAAACAGAGGGCGAUUUCUGGAGAUGAGUACUGCUGGCCAUGAAGUCACAGGGGUGGAGGAUGUCCUGGUUGUGCUGACUUCACCCCUUCCAAAGGGCGAUCAACAAGUGGCAGCAACAAAGGGGAGGACACAAGAGCAGAAUUUGCGAUGGGAAAAAAUACCAUCUGUGAUAAACCGAAGCUCUGGGUGUCUGCUUUCGGAGGGCAAAGUGUGUGAGGAGCGGCUGAGGCCCCUCGGCGUGCUCAGCGCAGAGCAGAGGAGCUGAGGGGAGGCGUCAUGGCGGCCGCAGCUCCUCACAGGGAGCGGAGGGGCAGCGCUGAGCUCUGCUCUGUGUGACAGCGACAGGGCCCGAGGGAACGGCAUGGAGCUGUCAGGGGAGGGGCAGCUGGGGGUUAGGGAAAGGGGCUGCACCAGAGGGCGGUGGGCAUGGAACGGGCUGCCCAGGGCUGUGGGCACGGCCCCCAGUGCCGGAGUUCAAGGGGCCCUCAUACUCUGGGUUUGAACGCCGAGGUGCCCUGCGUGCAGCUCCAGCUCCGCACCGCCAGGUGGCAGCAGGCCUUCUCCUAUCGGCUGCUCGCCGUGGCUUCGGGGUUUUUGAUGUUGUCGGUAAUCGUUAAUUAAAAAUGAGCUCCGACUUCUCUGCCGAGGCUCCCUCGAGGUCUCCAGAGGAACAGUCUGGGAUGCUCACUGAACAUCCAUCUGCUCAGCAGCAGUGCUCGCAAGUGUUUCACCGGGACAGAAGAGACUCUGGAAGCUGAAGGGCUGCAACUGCAAGCCUGCGCGUUUGGACUGCUGAGCCAGCAGAGAAGUGGGCGAGGAGAAUCGAGACGGACCCCUGGAUGCCAACAUGCAGGUGCAGACCUUUCCGCUGUAAGCCCCAUAACCACAAGCCAGCCCAAAAGGACAGGUGGUACUGUGGACAUAACUGAGUGAAGUACAGCAUCGUGAAACUGCAGGAACUCUGUGACAGGUAGGGACCGGCAGUCGUCCCAUUUGGAUACGGCUCUGCUACCACCGCUCUGCAUAUGAAUGAUCCCAUCCGCAAAUCAAACUGAACGCUUAUCACAGCACAAAGCACUUGAUGAAGACUAAUGAUUCCAACGUCGGAGACUGCCCACGUAGCUUACCCUGUGGGAAAGCUCUGCCGAUAAGAGCUUUGAAGGUACUGCGGUGGGGGUGGAGAGCGUCUUCCCCCAGAUAGUCACAGCAGGAGCCCACAGGUCAUUUGUAUUGCUGUCACACGACGCUGAGAUGUCGACAUGGGCGGGAUAUUGUUGUGAGCAGAGUCUGCCGCUGUGAUAGCCUAGAAUGGCCAUGAACCUAGAAAGAAAAGAUUUAGGGGCCAGUGCUGAAUUGAAAGAGAUGAAGAGGGGAGUAGUAUUUUAUAGAACAUUGAUAAGAUCAUCACUUGAUUUGUUUUUUCCCAGAAUAAUCUCAUACCAUUCAUCAGAAAAGGCGCUAAGGCAGCAAUGUGGAUGUCCAGCCCAGUGGAAAUGGUUUCGCAUGAUCUCUGAACUGGACGAAACAUUGGCAAGGGGUGCUGGCAACUGAUGGCAAAGAGUUGGUCACGUAUCCCACCGCCAGGUGUGUGCUGAGCAUCCUGCACGACCUCGUGGUUGUCACAGCAGCACAGGGACUGCACUGACUGAGGACCCACAGACCAACGUGAGACCCCUUCUCACACCUGCUGUAAAUGGAUGCCACGUGAAGAGUGCUGAGCGUAAGAUUCCUUGGGUUCCUCACAGGAUGAAAAGAGCCACCUCCAUGUUUACAGCACUGGAAUUGUAAGAUUUUCACCCUUUGGUCAUUUUUUUCCUUGAUUUUAUCGCAAGUUUUCUAUUACGGAGUACUCUUCCUAAGGAUACUUUACAUAAAAGACAAAAUAAAUGUAAUUGCAUCCAGAAAAUGCUCACGUGUGGUCAGAUGCUGUUAAGAUCACACUAAUUCUUGUGGAAAUUUUGUUCACUAUUUGUUUCUGAUGAGCACAGGGAUUGACAGCAUCCCUUAAAGACAUGAAAACAAAUAACUCCCUUUCAAGCACAGUCAGUAUUCCUUGCGCUGUGCUGGCACAGUGCAUCCCCUGGAUGAGUAUGCAGUGCUGGAUGGCUGCCUCUUCACCUGCAGGGCUUAUGGAGCCCUCACCUUGCUCAGAUUACCUGAGGGUAAUUUCUGGACUGGUUUGUGGCUUUGGGAUGAGGAAUUCAGCUCUCAUCACCGCACGUAGCCUGUGGGAAUGAGCAGGCAUAUGGAAUUAGGCUGCUGGGAGCAGAAGGCACCAAGUGAGCUUUCAAAUGCUCCAUCAGCAGUCAAACAGCAUUUUUCACCUCUACAUCCCUUACUUCCCAAAUCGUGGUUUAUAUUCAUGCACAUUAUCCGUGUAUCUGUAGUAACAAAAUGACUACACAUUUUGUUUCCUCACCUACCUUGGGAAUUACCUCCUGAAUGGACUAAGUACUCCGAUAACAAGAAAAAAAUACUGCUGUCGAUAUGUAAAGGAAGUGUAUAAAUACUUCUGAGUUAACCAUGGUUGAAAUAGCCUUAAUCCAAAUCAGCUGUUGUUUUUUUGUUUGUUUGUUUGUUUGCAUUGCAAAAGUCAAAAUGAGGAAGGAGUAACUGGGAGCAAAGAAGUCUCUGUAUGUCCUCUGAUGCCAGCUGUGGUGCUGCGAGCUUUAGAUCUGUGUUUUUUCCCCUCAUCUUUAAUUAAGCUUAAUGAUAAUGUGUGAUUUCUCAAGUGUAUUUUAAUGGUGUAGGUUGCUCCAGGUGAAUAAAAAAUAUUGCACAGCUGUUACAGGGCUCUGCCUUCCCUGGGCAUGGGAGCAGCGCUGCACUGUGUUACUCUGUUAUCUGCAGCUAACUGUUAGAAAUGCUCUUCCAAGCAACAAGAUGCCUUCUUCCCAACUUAUCGGUGACGCUGCGUGUCAACGGGUUAUUCAAAAGAAGUGCCACUUACAGUUCUGCUGAACUAAAAUGCAGAUGACAGGAAAAAUCAGUGCUUUCCAAACUGAAACAAAAUACCUUCGGUUCCUGCUUGCUGUGCAUCGUGAAUCUGUUUGCACCCCACCAGAAGCCAAGCGAGCAGAAUUUGAUUCAAUACAACUAACAGGAUGUGUUAUUUUCAGGUUCAUGAACAAGAACUGUUGGUUCAUUCUUCUUCCUUUCUCCUUUUCUCUUCAACUGCUGAUUCAUUUUCAGCUAUAAAUCAUCCUGGCUGGAAAUUCUGUGUAAGCCAUUAGAAAUGAAGACACAAAGUGACCAGCUGAAAAGCCAAGGAGCUGCAGUUUGACAUGCUUUCAAUACAGUAAAUGCUAAUACAACCUGAACAACUUCAGUGCAACAACUACUGCUCUGCUAAUUAAGCAAUUUUUUAAUGGGACACUUUGAAGCCAGUAGGUAUAUAUUUAUUUCACAAUCGAAACAUCUCUGAAAUCCAGGUGGCAUUAAAUUUUGCAUGAGCUUCUGGUAAAUUACAGAACUUAUUUUCCUUUAAAAGCUGUAGAAAGAAAAUUUCAGGGGGGGGAAAAAAAAGGUGCAUGCGUGUUUCUCUAAUAAGAGAGUUCUGAUUCAGGACAGAUAAUCUCCAGGACAGAUAAUCUCUUUUUACGUAAUCAUGAGACCGGGCAGAAAAAAAAUGCCCCCGAUGUAAAGCAUGUACAUUAAUCAAACUGUGUGCAACCUGAGCUGCUGAGGAAGCAACAGAGAGUUGCAGCGGGCAAAAAAGCAUUGUAAUUCAUAUUGAUCAAAAGGAACCAUCGUAUGUCUGUUUGGCUAAGUCGCACAGGUCACUUUCUGAGGGCAAAAUGAAGUAAUGAUACUGUAACUAACAUAUUUAAUUUGUUUUUCGUUUCUCCCCCUCAGCCUUUCAAACCAUUCAUUAAGUCUCUGGAGGCUACAUAUAUAGCUGUAUUCCUUGCUCUGUUGAACGCUCCUAAUUUUGAUUCAUUCUGCUGGCAUUUUAAGCUGAAGGCAAAAAUACAUACAUAUACAUAAAAGGGUUAUUGCAAAGUCUUCGUUGUCUUCUUGGGAAUGUGCCUGCUUGCCCAAACUUUGGGAGCAACUUCCUUUUUUGUUAUUAUUCACAUUCCUUCCCUAUUCCAUCUCUCAGUUCACGCCUCCAAUUAAAAGGAUAAUCCAGUUCUGAUCUUCACAUUUUUAUUUCACAUCCUAAGAGGCACUUGAAACAAGCACAUGAUAAUCACAUUACAUAAAUCUUACUUGUAUGCAUUGUACAUGUUUCUGUCAACGUGCUAGUGAUACUCAGUGUGGUUCUAGAACGUUUGCAUACAAAUUAUAUUGCCAGUCACUCCUCACCCUAUUACAUAAACAAUUCACAGAACCAUAGAAUCACAGGAUGGCUGAGGCUGGCAGGGAUACCUGUAUCCCUCUGGCCCAAUUGCUCUCCAGCAGGGCCACCCAGAGCGGGGUGCUCAGACCCACG